rnacentral:rRNA from 1 species
UCCGUAGGUGACCUGCGGAGGGAUCAUUGCUGGAACGCGCUUCGGCGCACCCAGAAACCCUUUGUGAACUUAUACCUAUUUGUUGCCUCGGCGUAGGCCGGCCUUUUGUGACAAAGGCCCCCUGGAAACAGGGAGCAGCCCGCCGGCGGCCAACUAAACUCUUGUUUCUAUAGUGAAUCUCUGAGUAAAAACAUAAAUGAAUCAAAACUUUCAACAACGGAUCUCUUGGUUCUGGCAUCGAUGAAGAACGCAGCGAAAUGCGAUAAGUAAUGUGAAUUGCAGAAUUCAGUGAAUCAUCGAAUCUUUGAACGCACAUUGCGCCCUCUGGUAUUCCGGAGGGCAUGCCUGUUCGAGCGUCAUUUCAACCCUCAAGCCUGGCUUGGUGAUGGGGCACUGCCUUCUAGCGAGGGCAGGCCCUGAAAUCUAGUGGCGAGCUCGCUAGGACCCCGAGCGUAGUAGUUAUAUCUCGUUCUGGAAGGCCCUGGCGGUGCCCUGCCGUUAAACCCCCAACUUCUGAAAAUUUGACCUCGGAUCAGGUAGGAAUACCCGCUGAACUUAAGCAUAUCAAUAAGCGGAGGA